rnacentral:piRNA from 1 species
UGGUAGAGGUAGAUUCAUUGGCACAGGAA